GUGAAUCAUCAAAUUUUUGAACGCAAAUUGCACUCUCUUCGGAGAGUAAGCGUGUGUGUGUGUGAGCCUAUAAAAAAUCAACAUCGUUGCCGUUUCGCGGUGGCGUUCGUCGGAAAUUGGGUCUUCUUAAAUCUUUUGUUUUUACGCGGCUUAAAUUUUUUCUUUUGGUUCCAUGAACGUUUCUGAUAUUUAUUUCCCUACCCGUUUAAGGUAUCGAUUGUUACUAGACUUGACCAUCAUAUCGGAUCCC
rnacentral:misc_RNA from 1 species